rnacentral:rRNA from 1 species
UACGUAGGCGGUUUACUAAGUCAGAUGUGAAAGCCCCGGGCUUAACCUGGGAACUGCAUUUGAUACUGGUAGGCUAGAGUAUGGUAGAGGGGGGUAGAAUUCAUAGUGUAGCGGUGAAAUGCGUAGAUAUUAUGAGGAAUACCAGUGGCGAAGGCGGCCCCCUGGACCAAUACUGACGCUGAGGUACGAAAGCGUGGGUAGCGAGCA